rnacentral:rRNA from 1 species
CAAUAGCGUAUAUUAAAGUUGUUGCGGUUAAAAGCUCGUAGUUGGAUUUCUGUCGGGGGCGACCGGUCCACUUUCUGAGUGAGCAUCUGGUCCGCUUCGGGCAUCCUCCUGGAGAGCGUUGUCGCUCUUGAGUGUGCGAUACGGGAUCUAGGACUUUUACUUUGAGGAAAUUAGAGUGUUCACUGCAGGCAUACGCCUUGAAUACGUUAGCAUGGAAUAAUAAAAUAGGACCUCGGUUCUAUUUUUUCGGUUUCUAGAGCUGAGGUAAUGAUUAACAGGGAUAGUUGGGGGCAUUCGUAUUUAACUGUCAGAGGUGAAAUUCUUGGAUUUGUUAAAGACGAACUACUGCGAAAGCAUUUGCCAAGGAUGUUUUCAUUGAUCAAGAACGAAAGUUAGGGGAUCGAAGAUGAUUAGAUACC